GAUGAACGCUAGCGGCAGGCCUAACACAUGCAAGUCGAGGGGCAGCAUAAAAUAAACUUGUUUAUUUGGUGGCGACCGGCGCACGGGCGCGUAACGCGUAUGCAACCUACCUUACACAGGGGGAUAGCCCGGAGAAAUUCGGAUUAAUACCCCAUAGCACUAUCGGAUGGCAUCAUUUGAUAUUUAAAGCUUUGGCGGUGUAAGAUGGGCAUGCGUCCUAUUAGCUAGUUGGUGAGGUAACGGCUCACCAAGGCGACGAUAGGUAGGGGGCCUGAGAGGGUGGUGCCCCCCCCUGGUACUGAGACACGGACCAGACUCCUACGGGAGGCAGCAGUUAGGAAUAUUGGUCGAUGGGCGCAAGACUGAACCAGCCAUGCCGCGUGAAGGAUGAAGGUUCUAUGGAUUGUAAACUUCUUUUAUUUGGGAAUAAACCCCUUUACGUGUAGAGGGCUGAAGGUACCAAAUGAAUAAGCACCGGCUAACUCCGUGCCAGCCGCCGCGGUAAAAC
rnacentral:rRNA from 1 species